UACGAAGGGGGCUAGCGUUGCUCGGAAUCACUGGGCGUAAAGGGCGCGUAGGCGCACGAUCAAGUCAGGGGUGAAAGCCUGUGGCUCAACCACAGAAUUGCCUUUGAUACUGUUCGGCUCGAGACCGGAAGAGGUAAGUGGAACUGCGAGUGUAGAGGUGAAAUUCGUAGAUAUUCGCAAGAACACCAGUGGCGAAGGCGGCUUACUGGUCCGGUUCUGACGCUGAGGCGCGAAAGCGUGGGGAGCAAACAGG
rnacentral:rRNA from 1 species